rnacentral:misc_RNA from 1 species
AUGAGUUUGAAUGAAGUUGUUCUGGUCUUUCGAGGCAAGUGAACACUUCUCUCAAUCCAUCUUACACCUGUGCACUUAUCGGGGUUGACUUUGGAUCUAAGUUGGAUAACGACGGCAAUCCUAUAGUCUUCCUCUUCAUACCAAAUAACAAGUCUUAGAAAGUCAUUUUUGCUUGAUGCAAACUUAAUAC